AGUGAACGCUGGCGGUAGGCCUAACACAUGCAAGUCGAACGGCAGCACAGUAAGAGCUUGCUCUUACGGGUGGCGAGUGGCGGACGGGUGAGGAAUACAUCGGAAUCUACUUUUUCGUGGGGGAUAACGUAGGGAAACUUACGCUAAUACCGCAUACGACCUACGGGUGAAAGCAGGGGAUCUUCGGACCUUGCGCGAUUGAAUGAGCCGAUGUCGGAUUAGCUAGUUGGCGGGGUAAAGGCCCACUAAGGCGACGAUCCGUAGCUGGUCUGAGGGGAUGAUCAGCCACACGGGAACUGAGACACGGUCCAGACUCCGACGGGAGGCAGCAGUGGGGAAUAUUGGACAAUGGGCGCAAGCCUGAUCCAGCCAUACCGCGUGAGUGAAGAAGGCCUGCGGGUUGUAAAGCCCUUUUGUUGGGAAAGAAAAGCAGCAGGUUAAUACCCCGCUGUUCUGACGGUACCCAAAGAAUAAGCACCGGCUAACUUCGUG
rnacentral:rRNA from 1 species